rnacentral:rRNA from 1 species
CUAGCUGGUCUGAGAGGAUGAUCAGCCACACUGGAACUGAGACACGGUCCAGACUCCUACGGGAGGCAGCAGUGGGGAAUAUUGCACAAUGGGCGAAAGCCUGAUGCAGCCAUGCCGCGUGUAUGAAGAAGGCCUUCGGGUUGUAAAGUACUUUCAGUUGUGAGGAAGGGGGUGUCGUUAAUAGCGGCAUCUCUUGACGUUAGCAACAGAAGAAGCACCGGCUAACUCCGUGCCAGCAGCCGCGGUAAUACGGAGGGUGCGAGCGUUAAUCGGAAUUACUGGGCGUAAAGCGCAUGCAGGUGGUUCAUUAAGUCAGAUGUGAAAGCCCGGGGCUCAACCUCGGAACUGCAUUUGAAACUGGUGAACUAGAGUACUGUAGAGGGGGGUAGAAUUUCAGGUGUAGCGGUGAAAUGCGUAGAGAUCUGAAGGAAUACCAGUGGCGAAGGCGGCCCCCUGGACAGAUACUGACACUCAGAUGCG